rnacentral:lncRNA from 1 species
GUUUAAGUAUUUUUUAUUCAUUUCACAUUUUCUUAUAUCCUUUCAUAUGUAUCUUUAGAUUGUAAAAAUGAUAAAUUUUCAGUUUUACUCAUUUCUAAUUCAAUAUAUGGUUUACAUUUUAAUAAAAAGGGAUGUAAUUCUGCAUUAUAUAUAUUAAAUACAUUGGUAUUUUUGUCUAAUCUCGGGCGUAGCCCGGGCAAAAUCUCUAGUAUUACUAAUAACCGUAUAUUUCUAUCUAUCUCAUGUCUUUUUUUUAAUAUACACUAGCUUUUGACCCGCGCGAAUGUUUGUUCUUCGUAAUUAUAUGUUUUUACUUUAAAAUGAUUUUAUAAA